GCCCGGAUGGUGAAAUUUGGUAGACACACUACUUUGAGGGGGUAGCGCCGGUUCGGUGUGCAAGUUCGAGUCUUGUUCCGGGCA
rnacentral:tRNA from 1 species